AUGGGGAUAUGUACUGUUACCCUCAGUAUGGAUAUGAUGGUCAGAUUUAUGGAUCCCAGGAUUUCCAGUACCCAUACACAUACCACCAACCACAGGCUACUGCCAGUAAGCCGGCAUACAAGGCUAAAACUGGCAAAUCAGCUCCUUCAUUACAAGAUGUUCUGCUGCAACUGCUGCUGAUCAGAAGCCUGUCUUGGUGGAUGCCGCCAAAACGACUUCAAACAACACUGAUGGUGUAAAAGGUAUGAAGAAGGGGACUUUGCCUCUGAAACCAAAUGGGUGUUUGGUUAAUUACCAGAAUCAAGGUAGCAAAGAAGCUUAUCCAUGGUCUGGUGGUCGUACCUCUUCGGAAAAGCAUUUGAAAUCUCUGGUGGCAGUCCUACGUCAACUGGUUCUAAUCGUAAUGACAAGGGCUUGCAUGGGCAGAACUCUCCGAUGGGGCCACCAUCUUCCGGAUUCAUCAGUUCACUAUAAUCUGAUAGUGGAAUGUACAACACAAAUGCUUAUGGACCUAGCUUUUGGUAUGGAUCUCAUAUCUAUGGUCCUGGGCUAUAUGGUGGGUGGAACACAUUGUUGAAUGGAAAGUACAAGCCCAGAGGAAAAACUUAUGGAUCUUAUGGUUUUGGCAAUGAAAACUUGGAUGGCUUGAAUGAGUUGAAGCGAGGACCAAGAAGUGGUCUCUUUAAAAACAACAAGGUUCUGGAGCAGCUGCUGAUGCAAAAGGACAAGAGCUUCCUAUCAGCGAUGACUCUAAUGUUGUUGUGCAGGAUCAGUACAACGUGCUAAUUUUUUUGAAACCUACUCAGAUGCCAAAUUUUUCAUUAUUAAAUCGUAUAGCGAGGAUCAUGUUCACAAGAGCAUCAAGUAUAAUGUUUGGGGGCAAGCAUUCCUAGCAGAAAUAAAAAGCUGGAUGUUGCUUAUCUAGAGGCUAAGGAAAAAUUGAGCAGUUCUCCUGUAGUCCUGCCGUUCUCUGUAAGUUCACUGUCUUAUUGUUAAAAAGUUCAUUUUCCUUCCAUGAACGGGACAAUUCUACAUCGCACUAUCAUGAACUACUGCAAUUAUCAAUCUUAAAAUACUUGCAGCACGCGGGAAGAUGAAGGGGUUGAACUCUGAUGUUCUUGCACCUAGCUGUCUCUUGGAUGUUAUUAUAAAGAAGUUAUUUUCGCUAUAUUUAUGUUGGACAAGAAAUCAAGAGUGGCAUCAUUGUAACGUUGGACCUUAGGCAUUGUAGAGAACUUUUGCUCUAUGAAACUAUGCAUUAUAUUUCACACCAGAUUUGUUCUCUUCGUGUGGGAAGUGAAAUUGAUACCGUGUGUGAGAUAAAG